rnacentral:rRNA from 1 species
GACGAACGCUGGCGGCGCGCCUAACACAUGCAAGUCGAACGCUCUAGCAAUAGAGAGUGGCAGACGGGUGAGUAACGCGUGGGAAACUUCCUAGGGGUACGGAAUAGCUCAGGGAAACUUGGGGUAAUACCGUAUGAUGCCGUAAGGCCAAAGAUUUAUCGCCCUUAGAUGUGCCCGCGUCGGAUUAGCUAGUUGGUGAGGUAAUGGCUCACCAAGGCGACGAUCCGUAGCUGGUUUGAGAGAAUGACCAGCCACACUGGGACUGAGACACGGCCCAGACUCCUACGGGAGGCAGCAGUGGGGAAUCUUGGACAAUGGGCGCAAGCCUGAUCCAGCCAUGCCGCGUGAGUGACGAAGGCCUUAGGGUUGUAAAGCUCUUUUACCGGGGACGAUAAUGACGGUACCCGGAGAAUAAGUCCCGGCUAACUUCGUGCCAGCCGCCGCUGUAAAAC